ensembl:snoRNA
CUGGCCUUCCUGACGCUAUUGGUUUCAAGCAGGAGCCUAAAAAGAUGUCUUUCUAUGGUCUGUUGGCCAUUUAGAACUUGGGCAGUGAAUGGUCAAUUCAUUAGAAACAGCUUGAA